GACGCUCUCCCCAAGGACGAAGCCAUGCAUGCCCGCUCACCCGGGAAGCGGCGGACUGCUCAAGGACAACGGUUGCACCCCCCGCGGCGGUCCCUGCUAGCCGGACACCGCUGGCAACCCGGCGCCAAGACGUGCGCGCAAGGGCGGGCGCCCGCGGGCGAGCAGCGUGACGCAG
rnacentral:rRNA from 1 species